rnacentral:lncRNA from 10 species
AAGGUUGGCUGGAUAUUUACAGACCUCGUCUCAGAAGAUACCCGAAAGGGUACCGUCCGCUACAGUCGAAAUAAGGACACCUAUUUCCUAAGUUCAGAAGAGUGCAUCACUGCAGGAGACUUCCAGAACAAGCAUCCCAACAUGUGCCGGCUCUCUCCAGACGGACAUUUUGGAUCCAAGUUUGUUACUGCAGUGGCUACAGGUGGUCCUGACAACCAAGUCCACUUUGAAGGGUACCAGGUGUCCAAUCAGUGUAUGGCACUGGUCCGUGAUGAGUGUUUGCUGCCAUGCAAGGACGCCCCGGAGCUUGGCUACGCCAAGGAGUCUAGCAGUGAGCAGUACGUGCCUGAUGUGUUUUAUAAGUCUUCUUCAGUGUUUCAUUUUGGAUAAUUUCUUUUAGUCUUCACAUUCGUUGAUCUGGACUUCUACAGUGUCUCAUCUGCAGUUAAUCUCAUCCAGC